GUAAAGGGUUCGUAGGUGGUUAGAUAAGUCAGAUGUGAAAGCCCUGGGCUUAACCUGGGAACUGCAUUUGAUACUGUUUAACUAGAGUUUACUAGAGGAUUGGGGAAUUUCCGGUGUAGCGGUGAAAUGCGUAGAGAUCGGAAAGAAUAUCAAUGGCGAAGGCAACAAUCUGGGGUUAAACUGACACUGAGGGACGAAAGCGUGGGUAGCAAACAGGAUUAGAUACCCUGGUAGUCCACGCUGUAAACGAUGAGUACUAGCUGUUGGAUCUGGUGUAAAAGAUUUAGUGGCGCAGCUAACGCGUUAAGUACUCCGCCUGGGGACUACGGCCGCAAGGUUAAAACUCAAAGGAAUUGACGGGGACCCGCACAAGCGGUGGAGCAUGUGGUUUAAUUCGAUGCAACGCGAAGAACCUUACCUGCCCUUGACAUCCAUAGAAGAUCUGAGAGAUUGGAUUGUGCCUUUGGGAACUAUGAGACAGGUGCUGCAUGGCUGUCGUCAGCUCGUGUUGUGAAAUGUUGGGUUAAGUCCCGCAACGAGCGCAACCCUUAUUUUUAUUUGCCAUCAUUAAGUUGGGCACUCUAGAGAGACUGCCGCUGAUAAAGCGGAGGAAGGUGGGGACGACGUCAAGUCAUCAUGGCCCUUACGGGCAGGGCUACACACGUGCUACAAUGGGCAUUACAGAGGGAAGCGAAAGUGCGAGCUGGAGCGAAACUCAGAAAGGUGUUCGUAGUCCGGAUUGCUCUCUGCAACUCGAGAGCAUAAAGUCGGAAUCGCUAGUAAUCGCGGAUCAGAAUGCCGCGGUGAAUACGUUCCCGGGUCUUGUACACACCGCCCGUCACACCAUGGGAGUGGGUUGCAAAAGAAGUAGAUAGUCUAACCCUCGGGAGGACGUU
rnacentral:rRNA from 1 species